rnacentral:rRNA from 1 species
UACAGAGGUGGCAAGCGUUGUUCGGAAUUACUGGGCGUAAAGGGCGCGUAGGCGGCCUUCUAAGUCAGACGUGAAAUCCCCAGGCUUAACUUGGGAACUGCGUCUGAUACUGGGAGGCUUGAGUGCGGUAGGGGAGACUGGAAUUCCGUGGUGUAGCGGUGAAAUGCGCAGAUAUCAGGAGGAACACCGGUGGCGAAGGCGGGUCUCUGGGCCGUAACUGACGCUGAGGAGCGAAAGCAUGGGGAGCGAACAGG